GUGGUAUUCUCGAAAGCGGCCUAAGUUAAAUCAGUGGCCUAAACCUGGUUUAAACCAUGGACUAUCUUUUUUGCUAUUCUCGAAGGUGGCCUAAAGAUAAGCCAGGCUUAAAUACGUCAUAGUUCGGCCUAACUUUAGGCCGCUCAGAGGGCAGGUUUAAAUACGUCAUAGUUCGGCCUAACUUCGCGUGACGUCACGUUUUAGUUAAAUCGAGUGUCCGCGGAGAGUGAACGGUUCUUUUCAAUUGAUGCAUGGGGAUGAAAAAAGAAGGCCUCUCCCAAGCUACUGUGACCCGCCUUGUGAAGUCCAUCUCAAUAGCCAUUGCCAGGAGAUCGGAGCAAUACAUCUCAAUUCUUGAACAAGAGAGGCAGUCCUGCAGAGUGAAGACCCAACAUGAAUUUUAUAAUUACUGCCAUUUCCCUGGCGUAAAUAUGGUUGGUGCUAUUGAUUGCACCCACAUAGGCGUCUCCACGCCAGUUGGCCCAACACCAGUUAUUUCCUGAACAGGAAAAAUAGAUACUCCAUUUUUCUUGGAAAGUCUGCUGGAUGAUGUUCUUCUUCAGUAAAAUAAAUGAAGGCAAAUAACCUGAUGAUUAAGACAAAUUCAGAGAGAGGAAGGAGAACUACUUAGCUGCUGAAUUUC